GGGAGGGAGGGGUCCUAGUGGGAAGACAGGUCAGCCCCAGAGAGCAGGCAGGUUGGGUGACUGGGAGAGUCCCUCUACCCUGAAAUCUGGGGGACAAUGACAAGCCGGGGUGUCAUUUCUGCCUGCCACAGUUUAUCCCCACCCCCAACCCAUGGGAAAGACAGGUAGAGGUGAGAAUAAUGGAGCCUGCUUCCCUGGGGAGUUAAGUGUGGUCUGGAUGAUGACUACAGCCACUUCUUCCCAAAUUGACAGCACUCAAGCUUUGGUGAAGCAGGUGACACACAGGCCUCUCUUACUCUGGGUGAUGAGAUGAGAGGACAGCUGUUCUCCCUUCACUCAAGGCAGCGCUCUGAGGUGUCCAGGAGGCGAUCUGCAAAUCAUCCCACUGAGUGCCCACAGCCGGUUUCUCCUCAGCUCUGCUGCGUGGAGGACUAAGAAAAACAGGCUGCUCGGGCUGGGCUGGGAUUUCAAGUUCCCAGGUCAUUUCCUCACCCGUGAUGCGCCUUUACUUCUCUGUUUUCCUCUAGAGUCACCACUUUGUGGCCAGUUAGACAAUCAGGCAAGGCUUCUUGGAGGAGGUGGUGAUUGUGUUGGCCUUUGAAGGAUAGAAAGGAUUUCAACAGGGAUGGUAAUAUUAUCAUUCCUAUUUUACAGAUAAGAAGCUACAGCUAAGAAAGCUUCACUGGCUUAUCCAAGGUCACUUGAGAGCUGAGAACAAUCGCCCACUCUGAACCUGAAAGCCGGUGGAGGCCUGUGCUAAUGAGCGUGCAGGUUUCGCUGCCCCCGGAAAUCAGGCACUGGCUCUGGGCACUCAGCAGCCGGAUGAUUGAAAGCCCAGUAGGGCUCCCAGCCCUCCCCCGCCCCCCACUCUCUUUUUUGUGUGUUGUCUGCAUCACUGCCCAGACCAAUCUAUCUCUUCAUGCUGAAUUUUUUAAAGCCAAAUUGGAAAAAAAUUGGAAGUAGCCUGCAUGCUAUUCCCCCGGGCUCCAAAUGGGCCCUCCAGUUAGGGGAACAAAAUACACUGUUUUAAUUUAUAAUAAUAAUUAUUAUUAUUAUCAUUAUCCAAAACAAUGACAAUACCAAUAAUCCUAUGCAUGGGUAGGCCAAUGUACAGCACAUAAAAUGCUUUUCCAGCUGUGAUUUCAUUUGGGCCUCACCCCCCUGUGAACCUGCUCCCGCCCCACCCCCCCAGCCCCUUUGUCUGUAAUCCGAGCAGGCCAAUUGCCUGUUGACUCUCAGCUGGGGUGGGAAGGCCAGUCUCAGGCUCCCAGGCCCUGCUUUUCCCAUGUCCUCUCGAAGGGAUCACAUUAGCAACACAUUUUUUAGCAGACGUGGCAGAGCACCUGCUCUGCUCAGGGAAGGGCUCCGGACCUGUCAGAAGGAGAAGAUAGGACUUUGCAAUCACUGGCCUCCAGUGAGAUGAUAGAGAAAGGCCAGAUAAUCUUAACUCCACACUAUAAGAGCUAUGCAUGGCCUUUGGGAGACUCUGGGCUCAAAAGUUGAAGUCAGCUUGAGGAAUGCCUCAAAGGCCAUUUCAUCCGAUGUGGAUCACAUUGCAGACCUCACAGUUUCAACUUGUCAUUGAAUUGUCACGUACGUACAGAAAAAUACAAAAAGCAUGACGGUACAACUCAAUGACUUUUCUCAAACAGAACACACUCGUAUAAGCAGCCCCCGACUAAGAAAUGGAAGCCCCCUUUGUUCUCCCUUCUAAUCACUCCUCCCAACCAGGGUGAGCGCCAUCCCGACGUGAAACAAUGUAGAUUAAUGCUGCUGCUUUUUAUAUUCAUAUGACUGGAGUCAUACACACUAUGCAGUCUUUUGUGUCUGGCUUCUUUUGUUCGAUGUUAUGAUGUGAUAUUCAACAUCACUGGAUACUGUUGUAGAUUUUUCAUUUCUCUGCUCUGUGAUAUUUCGCCGUAUGAAGAUAGUGAAAUUUAGGUAUCCAUUUAUCAUGGAUGAACAUUUGGAGGGUUUCAAGUUUUUGGUUAUUAUGAAUAAAGCUGUUUAUGAAUA